ensembl:lncRNA
AAAUAAAUAAAACCUGUGCACAUAUGUUAUCAUGCAGUAAAUAAUGUCAAACAAAUCCGCCGCUGGUCAGUAAGUGAGCUGAAUAUAGAGGUGAGUGGAGUCAGACUUCAGCGCAAUGCAAAUAAUCUUUCCCCCCUUAAAAUAGGCAUAUAUCUUCUAUCAGAUUAUGUUGCACACUAUUAAUUAAUUUGGGCUAAUUAAAAAUAAAAAUGAGCAUAAAAUGUUGUAAAGUGAAUUUGGGUAAGUUGAUCCCUGCUCCCUCUUCUGUACAGGUACGUGUUUUAUUAACUGUAAAAUCACAUAAACCUAAAACAACACUGAAUAAUGUGUUUUCUGGAGCAUAAAUAUGAUGGAUCAAACUGAAGCUGAUCCAGAAAGAUCCUGCUCAUGUUCCUGAUUGAAAUCUUAUCUCCUUCCAACACGCAGCACGCUGAGCUCCGAUCAGUGAGCUCAUCUUUGUCUUGGACUGUGCAGGUCUUGACACACUGAUGGUGAGUUUUGUUGGUAACAAAGCUGACUCUGUGCCAGAGGCUCUCAAAAUGUGGUUCUAAGGACCUUGUGGAGCUGCUUACAGGAGGUGUAGAAAACACGGGGAAGUUUAAUUUCAACAUCAUUUACAGAAAAGAUCCUGAUGAAGUCUGAAAAUGAACCAGAGGUGAGGUUUUAGAUGGUUGCACAAUUUAAUAAUGAUUUAAAGAUUACUCUCUUCCUUAUGAUUUGAUCUACCUGCAUUAUAAUGAGGGUUUAGGAUCCAUGACAUUAAAAUGGCCCUGAGCCUUGUGCCAGUGUGCAUGUUUUCUGAAGCAGCUGAUCAGUACCUCUAACCCUUGACAAACGCUGCAGAUCCACACAUCUUUAUCUAUAUUAGAUUGUUCUUGCAGGUUCCUCAGAAAAUGUAAUAUUAUUUAUUUACCUCAAAAUAAACUGUGUGAUUACUCUAACCUUCUCACAACUCAGCAUAACACCUUGUAGGCCAUGUAGCUGUUCAAUAUUGAACAUUUUGCAGGCCAUGCAAACCAAAUUGAGACUCUCUGGGAGCUCACUGUUUCUAAGCAGUCUUUCCUUUCACAGGGCAGACUGGGUGUUUGUGGAUUCAAUGUGAAGACGGUGGUAAAACAUGCAGGAGUCAUCCGAGCCACCUCUACACCCAUCGGAAGAGAAAGUUAUGUUACAUCUCCACUUCCCCCACCAUGUGUGUGUGUGUGUGUGUUCUCUCUCUGUGGAUGCUGCUGGAGCAAAUGUCUAAUAGUGAGUUAACGUACAUUUGUAAGCUAUUAUAGCUAUAACUGCCUGCUCCUACAACCAACUGAUUUUCCCAUGUUGAGCAAUUUACCAUAAUAUAUUUAAUAAAAUGUCCAAGUAUAUGGUAAAAUUCCACCCUUUUCUGAAUUGUGAAAAUUGAAUCCUAUUAUAGAUGAUUUCUUUAAUUGCAUGAUUUCUAAUAACUGGCCUCGAGCAUGAUCUUUAUGGUAAACAAUAAAUGAUAAGUGAAUCUCUGGUCACAUGUCGGAGGUAGAGGCAUAUGACACAUACUUUUGAUUUUUAAAGGUCUUCACAGUGAGUGAGCACAGCCCAGUG